CGAAGAGGCCCUUGUGCGCUCAGGUCACUACACAGUCUCCAGAGAGAAGGGCUCGUGGAGGAGUCAGCAGACCUCCUGGAACAGAGGUGCUGUGAUCGACCCCUCUGCUCAUUGUUCUCAGCCAGUGGCUCCUCUGUCAGGUGAAAGGAAAAGGU